GAGAAGAAAAAGAAGCAUAGAAAAAAUGACAAAGUAAGAUGAUGAAAAACCUCUUCAAAUAUAUCAACAAUCACAAUAAAUGAAGACGGACUUCCUUAGGUUUAAAAAUCAAAAUCCAGGAAUAAGCUGACAAGAGAAACACUAAAACAUACCUUGGCAAGGUGGAAAAUGAAAGGAUGUAAAAAGAAUUGAUGUAACUAUGUUAAUAUGAACACAAAAUAUACUUAAAAACCAAAAGCAUCAGUAGUGAUAGAAAAGGUGACAACAUAGCAUUAAAAAGUUGAAUUCAACAGGAAGAUAUUAUAAUUCUAAACUUAUAUGCACCUAGUAAAGUCAGCUCAAUUUAUUUGCAGUAAAUUUAUAGGGAGACAAAUUAAUAAGCACAUCACUAUUAUGAAGACCCUCAAUACUCCUCUUUACUGCCAAGUUUCAAAUAGACAAAAGAUAGUAGUUAUAAGAAUUGAACAGCAUAAUUAAUAAACUUAAAUCAGGAGAUACAUAUAGAAUCAUUUACCCAUUAUUAGAGAACAUACAUUCUUCUUAAGCACAUAAAGAACAUUAAAAAAAUCAACUACAUGUGUAUUAUUUACCCAUACAGCAAAUCUCAUCAAAUUUCAGAAACCUGAUAGCAUGCAAGCCACAUGACACUGGUAUCACACAGUCCAUCUCAGUUUAAUUAGGUUAGAAGUAAAUUGCAAUAGGGUAAAUUAACAUAUCAAAAAUUUGGAAAUUAAAAGUCAUACUUCUAAAUAAUUCCUAGAUCAAGAAAAGAACUUAUAAUAAAAUGCAAUAAUAUGGAGAACUGGAUUAUGAUUGUUACUACAUAUCAAGACCUGUAGUAGGCAAGGAAAGCAGCAUGUUAGAAGCAACAUAUAGUAUAAAUAUGCUAAGAUCUGAAAAGAAGAAAGGCUAAAAUUGAACGAGUUAGACAUCUAAACUAAUAAAUAAGGAAAAGAAAGAAUAAACCCAAGGAAAGAAUGAUGGUUAUAGUAAAGAAAGAGGGAGAAAUUAGCAAAGGCAAAAGUGAUUUCUUUUAAAGACUAAUUGAGCAAACAUCUGAUAAGACUAAUUGAGGUAAAAAAAAGAAAGAAGUUACAAAUAAUACUAUGGAUUUAAAAAGCUCAUAAUUGAAGAUAGAGUAAAAGUUGAAAAUAUGUUGGAUUUCUACAAGGAAAUUGAUAGAAAACAUUUGAUAGUACUAACAAAAUAGAUGAAUUCCUAGAAAACAAACAAUACCAAAUCAGACUGAAGGGAAAAUAGAAAGUUGGAAUUGUCUAUACUCAGUAAGUAAUUGAAUCUAUAGUUAAAACUCUUCCCACAAAGAAAACAACUGGCUCAAACAGUUUUAUAGACCAGUUUUACUAAAUUUGCAAUGAAGAGAAAAUAAGUCUCACAAACUUUUCCAGAGACUAGAAAGAGUGGCAAUAGUCCCUGAGUCAUUUAAUGAGGUCAGCGUAACCUUGAUACCCAAACUACAAAAGGAUAGUAUGAGAAAGGAGAAUACCUUCUAAUCAUAUUUAAGAACAUAGACAAAAGUCUGACCGGUCGUAUAAAAAAAGAUAGCCCAUAGGGAGUGAGUUAGGUUUAUCCUAGGAAAGGAUAUAUGCUUUAAAAAUAAUAAAUCUAUAAAUUUCGCUCAUCAUUUAACAGAUUAAAGAGGAAAACCAUAUGAUCCUCUCAAGCAGCGUAGGAAAGUACUCCAUAACAUUCAAUAUUCCAUCACGAUAAAAAUACUUAUAAACUUGGUAUAGAAGAGAACAUCUUUAGCAAAUCCUAUGUCAAAUACAAUUCUUAAUGGUUAAAUGUUAGAAGUGUUUCCUCUGAAAUCAGGAACAAGACAAGAACAUCCAGUAUAACCUCUUCUAUUUAGUGUUUUAACGUAGGUCCCAGCUAGCACAGAUAAGAUAGAUAAGAUAAGAAGUAGAUAUAAAAUAUAUGGAUA
ensembl:lncRNA